GUUGUGUUAGCAAACAGUGCGGCUGACUUAGAAUCAGAUGAUGUGUAUACACAUACACACACAACA
rnacentral:tRNA from 1 species